CCACCUGGUGGGCAGGACUCAGCUGCCUCACUUGGCAGAAAGAUCAAGGAUUCAAGAGUGGGAGGAAGACAAGAAUCCACUGCAGGGAGAGGAAGGAAAAUAAAAAUGCCAGUGGGAGUUUUGUCUUAUCAGAUGCCGAAACUCUUCCAUGCAGCUUUGAAUGCAGAGGCAUUCGAGAGAAAAUCGGCUGGAAAUUUGUUCAUGUCUACCUCUAUGCUUGACAUUUCACCACUGAUAAGGGCCUCUGAGUUCUGCUGGCAAAUGUGAGAGACAAAGGAGCAGCAGGAAGAAAAUUAACACAGUAAAGAUAUCAUUUUUCUGGGCAAAGCCACAAUUACUGUUGACCUUUGAUUUUAUUUCCUGUCAAUCUUGCAUUCCAA